UUGUAGUCCACGCUGUAGACGGUGCGCAUUAGGUCUUGGAGCUUUCGAACGCUUCAGGGCUCAAGCUAACGCAUUAAAUGCGCCGCCUGAGGACUACGGCCGCAAGGCUAAAAACUCAAAGGAAUUGACGGGGGCCCGCACAAGCGGUGGAGCAUGUGGCUUAAUUCGAUGCAACGCGAAGAACCUUACCUAGGUUUGACAUGGACGUGGUAUCCGGGGCGAAAGCUUUGGAGACCCGCAAGGGAGCGUUCACAGGUGCUGCAUGGCUGUCGUCAGCUCGUGUCGUGAGAUGUUCGGUUAAGUCCGGCAACGAGCGCAACCCUCGCCUCCAGUUACCAGCGAGUAAAGUCGGGGACUCUGGAGGGACUAACCCUUUUGGGUGGGAAGGUGGGGAUGACGUCAAGUCAGUAUGGCCCUUACAUCUAGGGCUGCACACGUGCUACAAUGCCUGGUACAAAAGGAACCAAGACCGCGAGGUGGAGGAAAUCCCGAAAGCCAGGCCCAGUUCAGAUUGAAGUCUGCAACUCGACUUCAUGAAGCCGGAAUCGCUAGUAAUGGUAGAUCAGCUACGCUACCGUGAAUACGUUCCCGGGCCUUGUACACACCGCCCGUCACGUCAUGAAAGCCGCUCAAUCCCGAAGUAUCCGAGCCAACCGUAAGGGGGCAGGGUCCUAAGGAAU
rnacentral:rRNA from 1 species